CAGUAACGGCGAGUGAAGCGGCAACAGCUCAAAUUUGAAAUCUGACUCCUUCGGGGUCCGAAUUGUAAUUUGUAGAGAGUGCUUCGGGCGAGACCGCGGUCUAAGUCCAUUGGAACAUGGUGUCAUAGAGGGUGAGAAUCCCGUAUGCGACCGUGGCUCGAGCCCAUGUGAAGCCUCUUCGACGAGUCGAGUUGUUUGGGAAUGCAGCUCAAAAUGGGUGGUAAAUUUCAUCUAAAGCUAAAUACUGGCUGGAGACCGAUAGCGCACAAGUAGAGUGAUCGAAAGAUGAAAAGCACUUUGGAAAGAGAGUCAAACAGUACGUGAAAUUGUUGAAAGGGAAGCGCUUGCAACCAGACCUGCCCGUAGGCGAUCAGCCGCUGUUCUCAGCGGUGUACUCGCUCUGCGAUCAGGCCAGCAUCGGUUUCGGCGGUCGGAUAAAGGCCUUGGGAAUGUAGCUUCCCUUCGGGGGAGUCUUAUAGCCCUCGGUGCAAUGCGGCCAGCCGGGACCGAGGACCGCGCUUCGGCUAGGAUGCUGGCGUAAUGGUUGUAAGCGACCCGUCUUGAAACACGGACCAAGGAGUCUAACAUCUAUGCGAGUGUUUGGGUGUCAAACCCAUACGCGGAAUGAAAGUGAACGGAGGUGAGAACCCUUAAGGGCGCAUCAUCGACCGAUCCAGAUGUCUUCGGAUGGAUUUGAGUAUGAGCAUAGCUGUUGGGACCCGAAAGAUGGUGAACUAUGCCUGAAUAGGGUGAAGCCAGAGGAAACUCUGGUGGAGGCUCGCAGCGGUUCUGACGUGCAAAUCGAUCGUCAAAUUUGGGUAUAGGGGCGAAAGACUAAUC
rnacentral:rRNA from 1 species